UUACAUAAUUUACUUAUUAACCCCACACACUCCACUCCACGACUAAAUGACCAGGAUUCGACCCUGGGUUAUAGUCAAAUUAAGUGAUUAAAAUGGCCAUUAUUAUUGUUGUGAUCGUCUAGUAUAAAGAUUGUGUUUAAUAUGACUACAGAAUAGUGGGAAUCAUAAUGGAAGGAAGACAAAAUAAGAUGCAACGUACGGGUUUUAGCUACAAUAAUUAGUAAGAUUGAAGACUUCUUGACGAUGUUUAUAAUGUAUCCUAUAAAAUAUUCACUCGCCAGAAUCGUCCAAAGAUCCAGGAGGGACAGAUAUCUACUCCAAACCUGGAAUCUGUUGCAGAAUAUUAAAGAAAAUUAUGGGAAAACAAAUGUGAAUGACGGACAGAUUUAGUAAGAUGAAAGAUUUAAGCCUACGAGCACACUACUGUUUCUCACAUCAAAGGUACAUUGUUAAUUAUGAACAUCAAUAGUAAAUAAAGCAGUUUUGGAGAAAAAUAGUAUGUU